AUACUGCCAGACUUGGAACCGGGAGAGGUAAGAGGUACUACAGGGGUAGGAGUGAAAUCUUGUAAUCCCUGUGGGACCACCUGUGGCGAAGGCGUCUUACCAGAACGGGUUCGACGGUGAGGGACGAAAGCUGGGGGCACGAACCGGAUUAGAUACCCGGGUAGUCCCAGCCGUAAACGAUGCUCGCUAGGUGUCCAGGCAUGGCGCGACCGUGUCUGGUGCCGCAGGGAAGCCGUGAAGCGAGCCACCUGGGAAGUACGGCCGCAAGGCUGAAACUUAAAGGAAUUGGCGGGGGAGCACAACAACGGGUGGAGCCCUGCGGUUUAAUUGGACUCAACGCCGGACAACUCACCGGGGGACGACAAGCAAUAUGUAGGCCAAGCUGAAGACUUUGCCUGAAUCGCUGAGGAGUGGUGCAUGG
rnacentral:rRNA from 1 species